rnacentral:rRNA from 1 species
UACGUAGGUGGCGAGAGUUGUCCGGGUUUACUGGGUGUAAAGGGCGUGUAGGCGGGCUUUUAAGUCAGAUGUGAAAUGCCGCAGAUUAACUGCGGAACUGCAUUUGAAACUGAAAGUCUUGAGUGGCGGAGAGGAAAGCGGAAUUCCUAGUGUAGCGGUGAAAUGCGUAGAUAUUAGGAAGAACACCGGUGGCGAAGGCGGCUUUCUGGACGAUAACUGACGCUGAGGCGCGAAUGCGUGGGGAGCAAACAGG